UAAAUGGAGUAUAGUAUUGCAUUAUGUGAGUGUUAUGGUUUCUCUAUAGAUGGACAACAUUAGAAGGCAUUUACUAAAAAUCAAAUACCUGUUCUAAUAAGAUCAGAGGGCCCUAUAUGAAGGUGAAAGUAACUCAUUCAACAGGACUUGUCUGGACAUAAAGGCGGAGGGAUACCACUGGUUGCCAUGUUAUACAUGCGAAGUUGUGCUGCGGUCAUGUGACGUCACGAAAGUUGGCUCCACUCUGUCUGGCUUUUAAAACUUCGGCAGUGCAACAGCCAAUAGAGAAUUUUCUUCCCAUCUACUUGUGGAAUGAAACACGCAGACAUAUCCUGAAGUAAUCACCAGGG